rfam:Gregarina niphandrodes unplaced genomic scaffold scaffold00248, whole genome shotgun sequence.
GGGUAUAUAGCUCAGGCGUAGAGUGGCUGACUGCAGAUCAGCCGGUCCAUGGUUCAAUUGCGUGUGCGCCCU